UCUAUUACGUGCGCGGAAAUUGUUAUCAUUUUUGGCUCAAAAAUGGUAACAAUUUCCGCACGUAAUACA
rnacentral:miRNA from 1 species